AUACGUAGGGGGCAAGCGUUAUCCGGAUUUACUGGGCGUAAAGGGUGCGUAGGUGGUUUCUUAAGUCAGGAGUGAAAGGCUACGGCUUAACCGUAGUAAGCUCUUGAAACUACCAAACUAGAGUGCAGGAGAGGUAAGUGGAAUUCCUAGUGUAGCGGUGAAAUGCGUAGAUAUUAGGAGGAACACCAGUGGCGAAGGCGGCUUACUGGACUGUAACUGACACUGAGGCUCGAAAGCGUGGGGAGC
rnacentral:rRNA from 1 species